rnacentral:lncRNA from 1 species
UAAGUUAUCAAUUUACAUCACGUGGCGGCUUAAGAAUCGAUUGAAAAAUUUGUAAGUCCAAAAUUGAUUGAAUAAUUCCCUAGAGACAUUAUGUCCGUUAACAUAUACGACCAUCAUAUAUUAUAAUGUUCACAAAAUUUUUAACCGGUUAAUUUAUUAUGUUAUGAACCAAAUGUUAGAUUGAUGAAUUUAAUGCUUCUUCUUCCAAUGGCCAAAUUAAGUCUCUUCCUUUCAUGUCUAUCUUUUUCUUCUCUUUAUUCUGUUUUCUCUAUCUUUUCCCCCCUCAAACGGUUCUCCUUUUUUUCUCAUUGAUUUAAUUUUCUAAUAGUUUUUGUGUUGUUUAGAUUCAUAAGUAUAGAAAGAAAGCCCUCAUCUCCUCUUCUCCGGUGGUGCAAGCUUGAACCAGUCUUUUCUUCACUGGUCUCAACAUCGUCUCCCGGCUCAAGCUCGCCAGCUCUGCUCAAGUCCAAAAGCUCACCUCAUCUCAAGCUCUAGAAAUUCACCAUACAUCACCUCCUCUGAAGCUUCGGAACCUCGCCUCGGCUCACCGGCGGUGAUGGUUAGUUACAUGAAUGAUGUUGCCAAACCAUGACAGAGAAGAGACUGUGUGCGUGGCGAAUAAGAUUUUCUUUUUAUUAGGUUUAGUUUUUUUUUAAUUUGGUUUAGUUUAGUAAACCAAUUACAAUUGGUAAACCGAUCAAUUUAUAAAAUGAUUUUAAUCUGUAAAGCAAUGAUUUUGCAGACCGAUUUUAC